UACGUAGGGUGCGAGCGUUGUCCGGAAUUAUUGGGCGUAAAGGGCUCGUAGGCGGUCUGUUACGUCGGGAGUGAAAACUCGGGGCUCAACCCCGAGCCUGCUUCCGAUACGGGCAGACUAGAGGUAUGCAGGGGAGAAUGGAAUUCCUGGUGUAGCGGUGAAAUGCGCAGAUAUCAGGAGGAACACCGAUGGCGAAGGCAGGUCUCUGGGCAUUAACUGACGCUGAGGAGCGAAAGCAUGGGGAGCGAACAGG
rnacentral:rRNA from 1 species